UUGAACGCUGGCGGCAUGCUUUACACAUGCAAGUCGAACGGUAACAGGCCUUCGGGUGCUGACGAGUGGCGAACGGGUGAGUAAUGCAUCGGAACGUGCCCAGAGGUGGGGGAUAACGCAGCGAAAGCUGUGCUAAUACCGCAUGUGAUCUGAGGAUGAAAGCGGGGGACCAGGCAGCAAUGUUUGGCCUCGCGCCUUUGGAGCGGCCGAUGUCAGAUUAGGUAGUUGGGGGGGUAAAGGCCUACCAAGCCGACGAUCUGUAGCUGGUCUGAGAGGACGACCAGCCACACUGGGACUGAGACACGGCCCAGACUCCUACGGGAGGCAGCAGUGGGGAAUUUUGGACAAUGGGCGCAAGCCUGAUCCAGCAAUGCCGCGUGCGGGAAGAAGGCCUUCGGGUUGUAAACCGCUUUUGUACGGAACGAAAAGGCUCUGGCUAAUACCUGGGGCUGAUGACGGUACCGUAAGAAUAAGCACCGGCUAACUACGUG
rnacentral:rRNA from 1 species